AGAACGAACGCUGGCGGCAUGCCUAAUACAUGCAAGUCGAACGAAGGCUUCGGCCUUAGUGGCGCACGGGUGCGUAACGCGUGGGAAUCUGCCCCUUGGUUCGGAAUAACAGUUGGAAACGACUGCUAAUACCGGAUGAUGACGAAAGUCCAAAGAUUUAUCGCCAAGGGAUGAGCCCGCGUAGGAUUAGCUAGUUGGUGAGGUAAGGCUCACCGAAGGCGACGAUCCUUAGCUGGUCUGAGAGGAUGAUCAGCCACACUGGGACUGAGACACGGCCCAGACUCCAGGGAGCAGCAGAGGAAUAUGGACAGUGGGCAAAGCCUGAUCCAGCAAGUCGACCGCGUGAGUACGAGUU
rnacentral:rRNA from 1 species